rnacentral:lncRNA from 1 species
UGAGACCACUUGAUCUUCGGGGCAUGUUUGGUUCACGAUUGGAAUAAAAAUGAGAAAUGGAGUUGGAAUAUUGCUUUGGAAUAAAAAAUGGAAUAACAAAUCAUCUAAAAUUAUUUGAUUUAUUAUUAGAAUAAAAAUCGGAAUAAGAAUAUAGAAUUUUGAGAAAGGGUUUUGAUUAAGAGAGAGAAAAGUGAUGAAUGAAGUGGAGGAGUAGGUGUUUAUGGAAGAAGAUUUUGAGUAGUUUACUUUGGAAUUCAGCGCAUCAAUCAGUCGGAUUGGACCAUAAAUGGAUUUAGUCAUUCUCAUUCCAGAAUGGAAUAGAAAUCGAAAUCCAAAUUUUAUAAAACAAACAACAACUAUCAAAAUCAAUAAAUCUCAUUCCAAAUUUAUAGUCUAAAAUAGAUGAUAUACCAAACAUACCCUAAGUGCUUAUGCAGAUUCCACAUAGUCCAAAUCGAAUACCCAUAAUACUGUCAAACAACUGCUGUAUUCUAAAGGCUUAAGCUUUUAGAAAAUGGUGAUUAAACAUUUUUAUAUUUUAACACUCCCCUCACGUCUGGGCUCAAGACUUUUUAGUCGGCCCAUGACGUGGGUUUGAAUUAAAUGAGAGAAAAUUAAUAUGCUAGGAGCCUGACGUGACUCGAACUUAGGACCUCUUGCUCUGAUACCAUGUGAAACAACCAUUGUAUUCUAAAAGCUUAAGCUGUUAAAAAAUGAUGUUGAAAUAUUUUUAUAAUUUUAACAAAUAUGACAUGUUUAAU